rnacentral:rRNA from 1 species
GACAGAGGGUGCAAACGUUGUUCGGAAUUACUGGGCGUAAAGCGUGUGUAGGUGGCUGCGUAAGUCGGAUGUGAAAGCCCUGGGCUCAACUCAGGAAGUGCACUCGAUACUGCGUAGCUCGAGUACCGGAGAGGUUGGUAGAAUUCUCGGUGUAGAGGUGAAAUUCGUAGAUAUCGAGAGGAUUACCUGUGGCGAAGGCGGCCAACUGGACGAGUACUGACACUGAGACACGAAAGCGUGGGGAGCAAACAGG